rnacentral:piRNA from 1 species
GAUGAACAGACACAGUCUA